UAAAGUAGGAAAGAGCGUAUGGCGGAUGCCUAGGCACAGAGAGGCGAAGAAGGACGCAGCAAACAGCGAAAUGCGACGGGGAGCAGUAAGCAUGCAACGAUCCGUCGAUGUCCGAAUGGGGGAACCCAUCCGGGAUAGAGCCCGGAUAUCCUGCAGUGAACAGAUAGCUGCAGAGAGGCGAGACUCAGGGAACUGAAACAUCUAAGUACCUGAAGGAAGAGAAAAUAAGAAUGAUUCCCUAAGUAGCGGCGAGCGAAAGGGGAGGAGCCCAAACCGAUUUUAGGAUCGGGGUUGUAGGACUGUCAGGAAAGAGCAAGGAGGCAUUAUAGGCGAACGGACUGGGAAGUCCGGCGAGACAGGGUGAAAGCCCCGUAGCCGAAAUAGUGAAGAAGCUUGAGACAGCACCUGAGUACGGCGGGACACGAGGAAUCCUGUCGGAAUCUACCAGGACCAUCUGGUAAGGCUAAAUACUCCUCUGUGACCGAUAGUGAACCAGUACCGUGAGGGAAAGGUGAAAAGAACCCCGGGAGGGGAGUGAAAGAGAACCUGAAACCGUGAGCUUACAAGCAGACAGAGCACCAUACGCGUGUGAUGUCGUACCUUUUGUAGAAUGGGCCGGCGAGUUACGAUGAGAUGCGAGGUUAAGUGUCAAAGGCACGGAGCCGAAGCGAAAGCGAGUUUGAAUAGAGCGAAAAGUAUCUUGUCGUAGACCCGAAACCUGAUGACCUAACCAUGAGCAGGUUGAAGCAGAGGUAAAGCUCUGUGGAGGACCGAACACACGCCUGUUGAAAUAGUCGGUGAUGACUUGUGGUUAGCGGAGAAAUUCCAAACGAAUCGGGAUAUAGCUGGUUCUCCUCGAAAUAGCUUUAGGGCUAGCCUCAUGUAAGAUUACCGAAGGUAGAGCACUGAAUGGCCUAGGGGGCUUCACAGCUUACCGAAGCUUAUCAAACUCCGAAUGGCGGAUGAUCGGUGUGUGGGAGUCAGACUGCGACAGACAAGUGCCGUAGUCAAAAGGGAAACAGCCCAGAUCCACAGCUAAGGUCCCAAAGUACAAGUUAAGUGGGAAAGGAUGUGAAAUUGCACAGACAACCGGGAUGUUGGCUCAGAAGCAGCCACACAUUAAAAGAGUGCGUAAUAGCUCACCGGUCGAGUGAUUUUGCGCCGAAAAUUAACGGGGCUCAAACUUGACACCGAAGCAUGGGGAUGCGCGAAGCGCAUCGGUAGAGGAGCAAUGUAUACGGGCAGAAGCCGUACCGGAAGGAGCGGUGGACUGUAUAGAAGAGAGAAUGCCGGCAUAAGUAGCGAGAGCGGAGCGAGAAACUCCGCCGUCGAAAGUCUGAGGUUUCCUGGGGAAGGUUCGUCCGCCCAGGGUAAGUCGGGACCUAAGGCGAGGCCGAAAGGCGUAGCUGAUGGACAACAGGUUGAAAUUCCUGUACUACCGAACGAGUUAAUGAAGCAGUGACACGGAAGGAUAGUCUGAGCGCGCGGAUGGAAAAGCGCGUCCAAGCGGAAGCGGCGGCUUGUAGUGAAGUACGCAAGUCAAACACCGUAGCCGUGAUGGGGACCGGACUAAGGAAGGGAAGCAGGCAAAUCCACGCCGGCGAGAAAAGCUGCUAAAUGUUGUGAGGUACCCGUACCGCAAACCGACACAGGUAGACGAGAAGAAAAUUCUAAGACGAACGGGAGAACCCUUGUUAAGGAACUCGGCAAAAUGACCCCGUAACUUCGGGAGAAGGGGAGCCACGGAAGUGGCCGCAGUGAAGAGGCCCAAGCGACUGUUUAUCAAAAACACAGGUUUCUGCGAAAGCGCAAGCUGACGUAUAGGAGCUGACGCCUGCCCAGUGCCGGAAGGUCAAGGGGAAGUGUUAGAGCAAUCGAAGCACCGAACUUAAGCCCCGGUGAACGGCGGCCGUAACUAUAACGGUCCUAAGGUAGCGAAAUUCCUUGUCGGGUAAG
rnacentral:rRNA from 1 species